GCCCAGAUAGCUCAGUUGGUAGAGCACAUCCUUGGUAAGGAUGAGGUCACCAGUUCAAUCCUGGUUCUGGGCU
rnacentral:tRNA from 2 species